rnacentral:snRNA from 2 species
GUCACUUCGGUGACAUCCGAUAAAAUUGGAACGAUACAGAGAAGAUUAGCAUGGCCCCUGCGCAAGGAUGACACGCACAAAUCAAGAAAUGGUCCAAAUUUUU